GGGUGCGAUCAUACCAGCACUAAUGCACCUGAUCCCAUCAGAACUUCGAAGUGAAGCGUGCUUGGGGGAGAGUAGUACUAGGAUGGGUGACCUCCUGGGAAUUCCACGUGUUGCACCCC
rnacentral:rRNA from 1 species